UCCUGAAAUGUUAAUUUUUUUAUAUUUAGGGAUAAAUCCAAUAUAAGCGAGGAUGUAUAUGUAGGCAAUCAGCAUUUCAUGCAGAAGUUAACCUAGGUUUAGUACUUCGAUAUCAACCGCCAAUCUACAUUUUAGAGUCAAAAGUAAUAAAAAUAUGGAAAUAAACUUAGCAUGAUUGGCAGGUGGCACCUCACAUUUCUGUUCAUUUUCUGUUAUAUCAGCGUCUAAAGCGACCAUAUUAACUGCUGGCAGAAAAAGAACGAAACAGUAGACACCAUGGCAUAUCCAUAGUAUCAAGUCUGAUUUAACUGGCCCACUACCCUUUGGCAAUCUAGUUUCACUCCAAAAUUGAGCUAACGCCAUAGUGAUUUGGUUUUCCAUUCCCAAGGUCCAGCUCUUAGUCUGUGUCCUCUCGAUAAAUAAAUGAUCUAGUAGGACAAAGGACAAAAUAAUAUAUGCUUUGACUUUGUUUUUGCUAAAACAUCCACAAAGAUUUACGGCAAGGGAAAAAUGGUAAUCAGGCCAAAUUUUUAUAUUUAUAAAAAUAAAAUGUGAUUAAUGACACAUUGCAAAACAAAAAACUUGUUACUCAUCAAGGACCAACAUAUUCUUUUGCAUUUGCUCAAAAGUAAUACUUUUUUAUAACAUAACAUUCAUCAUUAUCUGCCUUUUACAUAUUUAAUUAUGGAUUCAAACAGUGAGAAGCAAGCAAAAGCAUCAAAAUCCUGAUGUUAAUAUGAUUAGUCAAACUAGGAUCUGAACUGAACUAAAACAGUGAGUAGAAACGACAUGGAGCGUGAAAAUGUCAAUAUACAGCACCAGUUCACGUUGCAUUUGCUGAUUUUGCUGAAGAUUGUUAUCCCUUUCGUCCUUCAGACGCUGUAUUGUCUGGAUCUGGAUAAAAGGAAAGGAACAAUUUACUGAGUAAAAAGGACAAAAGGUUCGCAUAAUAUGUUUUUUUAUUAGUAACAGCUUGAUCAUAAAAGUUAAUUGCUGCAUAGUGAGCAUAUCUCAUCCAGGGCACACUUUAGAAUCAUGAUUUUUGGAAAAAAGUUUGAGUUGGAAUAUGUCAAUCAGGAUAAAGGAAGAUACUCUGGUCCAGAUGAACAAAAGUGGGUAAAAAAUUCCAAAUUCUGGUCCCAUUGCACAAUUAACUAUGUACAUAGGGCAACAUGCUCGUGGGCUUCUGGGCAUCCCUUCCUACCUCAAUCAUGACACCGGCCUGGAAGUAUAGGUACCUUUUCUCACGCUCGAUCAACUUUAUGUUGAUUUCAACAAUGAUUUAAUGAUGCUUGAACAUUGUCCUGCUUCCAUAUUUGCUCUUUUCACAAUUUUAUAUAAGAAAAUGUAGUGUGUAUUUGCUUCUGCAUUUAAGAAUCUAAGAGAGAAAUAGUAUUUGCAAGACUAUAGCAACUACCUCAGUGCAAAAACGUACUGCAAAAAGAUCCUAAGAUGAACCUAAUGUAUAUUUUUUGGAAGUGCGCAGCGCAAUAUUACAGAGUUUGGUAGAGACUUCAAGCCUGUCAAGUCUAAAUGGUAGAAUAAUUCUUUCUCCAUCAGGGGAAAUGUCUUUGCUAGCAGUUUUUUUGGUCAGGUUUCUAAAUAAACAUGUGAAAUUUCUGUUUGGAUAGAGCGCGUUACCUCUUCAAUGCUUGCAUUCUUCAGCAUCUGCAAGGUAAAGCAUAAACAUGUGAAAUACAGUUAGCCUUUGUAAUAAAUUUUUAUUAGCAGAUCCAACAUAUGUCUCCUACUUAGAUGAUAGAGCUAGCCAAUCUCACCGAGAGAUCGUCGCCACCCUGCUUGAAGCUCCUAUUUGCUGAAGAUGUGACACCAGAGUCGUCUGAGCUUCCACUGGGCAAUGUGUAGACAACCUUGAGCUUCAUUUCCUCAAUCACCUUAUCAGCCUCCUUGUUGAACUGAGGGAUACAUAUAAAGGGGGGAUUUCGUCCAUGUCGGUGCUGGCAGCCACCCUGGUGCUCUGAAUCAAGAAUUUAUCCUUGGAUUGCAUAUCUGGAGGGUACUCUUUCUGCGACUGUAGGGUAACUAUAACCCAAAACAAGAAGGCAGAUGCGCACACAUCAGAACCAAAUAAAGAAUCCUGGAGCAUGUAUGUAUCUAUGCAUGCAUGCUUACUUGUUAUCGUGCAAGAAUCCCACGGCUGGACGACGCUGGCGUUCGGCCGGACGAAGUACUUCCUCGGAGACGUCGUCUUGACCUGAAUGCAAAUGAACAUAUUCUGAUCAAACCUGAACCUCGAUCUUCUUCAAGAGCUUCACCGAGACGCACAGCGGAAAACCAGAGUCCGUCCUGCGCCGUGGAAUGGAAAUGGCACGAACCUUGAAGGCGACAUGGUGCUCGCUGUUGUUCACCACCUUGAGAUUGCAGUAGCACGGCUUGUCCAGCUCGACUACGCACAAGAAUUCAGUUCAACCAACGUAGAGAAAACCACGGAGGGUUUUUUAUUUUGCAGAAUGCGGAGAAAAUCUCAAGAACAACUUACAGAGGAAGGUGAGGUCGUCCGGGUAGACCGAGAUCAGCGCUCCUCCCACCAUUGCGACACCUGAACCUGAUGAGAGAAACGGGGAAGGAACCACGGCACUCGUGAAUCGUCUGCAUUGGAAGAGACAUAGGAGGAGGUGGUUUCUGCUGGUUCAGAGGAGGAUCGUCCCAACCUUUCUGUCGAGGACGGCAGGAGCCCGGCCGAGGCGAAAAUCAACGACGAGCAGCGAUUCGGGGGAGAAAUGAGGAAGGAGGGAGGGUGGAGGGGAGGAAGAAAGACAGAAAUGAAUGGGUUCGCUUUGCCUUUCUUGGCUUCCCGGCGACAUUGACGGGGCAGCACUCACUUCUUGGGCCCGUGGCUGGCAGUUUGCGUUUUCCUCUCCCCCCUUUUUUUCCGCGAGUGAACAGCACUAUUCCUUUAUCUAAUCUUUUUUUUUUGGUGGUUGGUGAUUUAUAUGCUACUACUUUAUUCCGUGUGUUCUUGUCAAGGCCACUUGGCAGGUGAUUUUUUAUCAUGUUUUGGGAGCACCUUUUUUUACCCAAA